UGGGGAAUAUUGCACAAUGGGCGAAAGCCUGAUGCAGCAACGCCGCGUGGGGGAUGACGGCCUUCGGGUUGUAAACCUCUUUUGGUAGGGAAGAAGCUUUCGGGUGACGGUACCUGCAGAAAAAGGACCGGCUAACUACGUGCCAGCAGCCGCGGUAAUACGUAGGGUCCGAGCGUUGUCCGGAAUUAUUGGGCGUAAAGAGCUCGUAGGCGGUUCGUCGCGUCUGCCGUGAAAUCCUCAGGCUCAACUUGAGGCGUGCGGUGGGUACGGGCGAGCUAGAGUGCGGUAGGGGAGAAUGGAACUCCUGGUGUAGCGGUGGAAUGCGCAGAUAUCAGGAAGAACACCGAUGGCGAAGGCAGUUCUCUGGGCCGUAACUGACGCUGAGGAGCGAAAGCGUGGGGAGCGAACA
rnacentral:rRNA from 1 species